CUGGAGUUUCACCUGUUGGUUCUAAUGGCAAAGGAUUCAGGAAAGAUGCUUGUCAAGAGAUGAGGAUCCCAGGCUCUUUCCAUCAGCUUCCCCAUUUCCACUAAGCCCCAGUAUGGAAAUCAAUAGUUGCUAGAUAUUACAGUUUUCCAGUCGACUUAGUUCUCAUGUGACAGCUGUUUUCCUUCUUUAAAGAGAAGUCUUGGGGCUGAGGGGCUCAAGACAUCUGCUUCUUAAUUAAGAUUGUGUGGAUCAAGGGAACUCCACUCCAUCUGUCUUGAUGACAAACACCCAAAGCAGGAGCUAAUAAGGACCAGCCACAUGCUCUAGAACCAGGCAUGGAGACACACACACACACACCUAUAAUCCCUCUGCCUCUAGGGAGGCAGAGACUGGAGGAUUGUGAGUUCAAGGCCUGUGUGGACUUCAUAGUGAGACCUAACUCAAACAAGAGACAACAGCAAAAAGAAACUGAAAACUCAGCUUCUACAGGCCAGUUCCAGCCUGGAAUUCUACUGUGAUAUCACUCAAUACAGUUGGAAUGGCAUGGUCUCCGAACGGCAUGCAUGGUUUUUGGCCCCACAGCCUUGCAUAUUUUCUUUGGCCCCUACCCUGUACUUUGUCCAGUUAUCUUGAGACAUAGGAACUGAAAAGUAAUUCAGCCUCGAACCUGGUAAAGUUACCACAUAGUAAUUGCUUAUAUAUUAAUGCACCUUGCAGAUUGCAAUGUGCUCUCAUGGAUGAUUAUUGCUGGCUAAAAAUAAAAUAAAAUAAAGUAAAAUUAAGGGGAAAAAUUAGUAAAUGGCAUUUAGCUAUUCACACACCUCCUUUUGCUGCUGAUAAAGAGGGGGAUGAAAGGACUUCUCGAUUAACACGGAAGCUGGAGUCCUGAAAUUCUGUUCCUGGAUAUCGAUACAAAGUCAAUGCUUUUUAAAUUAAAAAUGAGAUGCUGCUACUUAUGACUUGAUAAGUUAUAAAAUGCCUCUUUCAUCCUUCCAAGUCAAUGGUCCCAGGCUCCACUGCAAUUAAAUUUCAGAUCUUCAGCUCAUACGGAUUGUAUUGGUACCUCGAAACAAGGACAGGGUAAAAGAGGUCUCUGUCUCUGUGCUGUUUUAGUGUGAAGGGUGGAACCUCUGAGUCCUCUGUGUUAGGUGGCAGAGGUGAGGGAAUGCUCAGGCCUCCCUUGUGAGCACUAACCAGCCCUGACUCUGAGCUCAGAGGAGACGGUGCAUUCAGGGCAGAACCACAGAGGAGGCCUCUGAUGGGCUAUCCAGUCUCAGCCCUAGACAUGCACACCUCACAGCAACACUAAUACACUUGGUAGAUUUUCUAUGUAUAUAUAUAUUACUGAAGAGGAGGUCAUGAAUAUUGAGAUGGAGUUAUAGAAAGGACUUAUGACGAGUUGGAAAAGGGAUGAAAAUAAUGUAAUACAGUCAUAUAGGAUAUUUUCAAAAGAAAAAAAUUAACUUAAAAUUUAAAAGUAUGCUUAGGCCAUACAAUGGAUUUUUGACUUCUUGUUCCCAGUGAAGAAGUCAGAAUACCAAUGUGUCAAGGUCAUCCUAAAAUAAUCUGCACCCCCACACUAUAGAAAGCCCCCCACUUCUCCCUGCACAGAGCCCAAAGUAUCUUGGGAAUCUCAUCUUGACCACUGAGAUCAAUAACCAUUACAGAAUAGAUUUUUAAGGAGUGUGCUUUAUUGCAAUUAAUCUAACUAAAUUGCAACUCCAACCAGUGUUUUUUCUGAGAGUAAGCAGUGAGAGUUGCUGCAUAUACUCAGCCAGUGGCCAUAUCAUUUGCCUGCUGUUGGGCCUGAGAUGCUCAGAGGACUUGGCGGCCCAGGGACAUCAUCUCUAAAGCAGGAGUCCAUGGCAGCCACAUCUGCAGAACUGUCCUAUGCAAACCCCAGGUGAAUGUUUGUGGGAUGCUGCCAGCAUGGUGAAGUUGUUCUCAGAAGAGACCGGGAAGCAGGUACCACCCAGCCUGCCUGACACUUCCUGCAAGGUUCGGUUGCUCAACCACACCUGCCAAGAUGCAGCACCUGGGGAACCUACAAAUGUUUAUGGACAAAUCUCCAAGCCAUAGUCAUAAAAUCUGGCAUUGCGGAAGGUGGGGCCCUUGUACUGGCAUUCCCAAAGCUGCUCUGUUCUCACAUGCUCUCAGGGUGAGAAGCAUUGCUGUGCAGUGAAUCAAACAAGAGCUUGAGCCCCACUGAUGAGGAGUCUCACUGGCUGGGGAAGGCAGCAUUCCUCCCUGUCUCCAGCCAUGGCUGGUAAGUGCUGACACGGCUGGGAGCUUCGGGGUCAGUCUGGCGCAUCACGGCUCUGAGAAGAAGUACUUGAAAUGCCUGCUUCACGUUCCUGUCUAAAGCCAGGCCUGACAACAAUCAGUCAACACCAAUUUUGUGGGAGCCUGAACUGCGUGGUGGGGGACAAACGGAGCAAAGUGGCCAAGUGAAAUGUUCUUCAUAUCUAGGACGAUUGCAUGAAGGGUAAGGUAGGGACAUACAUCUCCCCCCUUGGUGUCCCCAUGGGUGGCCAAGAGGGUGGGAGGGGCAGAAAUUUCAUGUGGACAUGUGCUAGAGGUGUCAGAAGUCCAUGGUAUCUGCUCUGCAAACACAGAACUCAAAAGCUUCCACCACAAGAGUAUAAACCACUGAGGGAAACAGAGGCAGCUCUCUCCAUUACAGCUGCUGUGGCCUCCCCAUAUGCUGGAACGCUCUUCCUGUGCAUAGAGAUUUCACAGUCACGGGAAGUACAGAUCCUAUCUCUGAGGGAAGUGGAAGCUUAGUUGGCUACCUCUAGGUUUGGAUAACCACGGGAGAUUUAUCACUGAAUCUCAACUGUGGUGUAAUUCCUGAUUCUAUUAGUGUAUUGAUUGGUUGGUUUGUUGACUGAAUGUAGUGCUGGGAAUGGAACUUAGGGUCUCACACAUGCUAGGCACAUGUUCUACCACUGCGCUGUAUUCCCAACCACUCCUGAUUUUGAGUUGCUGGUUGCUUGGGACUAUUUAUGAAAUAAAAACAUGAUUUAUUCAUCUAGAUCUCAAGAAGUUACUUCACCUGCUUAGGACACAAAGAGAAAUGGAAAAAAUCAGCAGAAAUGAGUGACAUAAUAAAGACUUACUGUGUCUCCUUUUUCUUCUUCAGAGGGUCCAUGAGACGCAGCGUGUCUCUGAUCACGGCCACCUUCACCUCCUCAUCCACCAGGCUGGGGAUAUUUUCAAACACCCCUGGAGAGAGCUUGGAAGGGCUCACAUUUCAGAGAAGAGAGGGCCGUGAGCAAGCUAACCUUACAGCAAGGUAAGAACACAGGAGCACGGGAAGGUGGGCAGAGGGGAGGGUGGGAGGACCAGGGAAGGGCUUUCGCUUUUUUUUUUUCCCUUUCCUUCCUUCCUUUUUUUGUUUUUGUUUUUUGAGACACGGUUUCUCUAUGUGACAGCUCUGUAGACCAGGCUGGCCUCGAACUCACAGAGAUCCACCUGCAUCUGCCUCCUGAGUGCUGGGAUUGAAGGCGUGCGCCACCACCGCCCAGGCUAGGGAGGAAUAUUGUCAGCUCACUGUCUUUGGACUCACACCACUUCUCAUAAGGGUGUGAAGGAUGUGUUUUCUCUUGGCUGCGUCCAAGUUGUUCUCAUCACUACUGGUUAUUUGUACCCUGAUGUAAGUCAUGGGGCAGGAUGUGUGUGAGGGGGUGGGAUGUGUGUCCCGU